AGAUUGAACGCUGGCGGCAGGCCUAACACAUGCAAGUCGAGCGGCAGCGGGAAGUAGUUUACUACUUUGCCGGCGAGCGGCGGACGGGUGAGUAAUGUCUGGGAAACUGCCUGAUGGAGGGGGAUAACUACUGGAAACGGUAGCUAAUACCGCAUGACCUCGCAAGAGCAAAGUGGGGGACCUUAGGGCCUCACGCCAUCGGAUGUGCCCAGAUGGGAUUAGCUAGUAGGUGGGGUAAUGGCUCACCUAGGCGACGAUCCCUAGCUGGUCUGAGAGGAUGACCAGCCACACUGGAACUGAGACACGGUCCAGACUCCUACGGGAGGCAGCAGUGGGGAAUAUUGCACAAUGGGCGCAAGCCUGAUGCAGCCAUGCCGCGUGUGUGAAGAAGGCCUUCGGGUUGUAAAGCACUUUCAGCGAGGAGGAAGGCAAUCGUGUUAAUAGCACGGUUGAUUGACGUUACUCGCAGAAGAAGCACCGGCUAACUC
rnacentral:rRNA from 1 species